CAGCUACUUGGGAGGCUGAGGCAUGAGAAUCGCUUGAACCUGGGAGGCAGAGGUUGCAGUGAACUGAGAUCACGCUACUGCACUCUAGCCUGGGUUACAGAGCAAGACUGUGUCUCAAAAAAUAUAUAUAAAUAAAUAAAGAACUGAGGAAACUCAGGCCGUCCAGUGCAGUUGCCCAUCAUCCCCAUCCCGGUAAAAAUGGAAGCAGCCAUUGGAGACUUUUCUUAGGGUUAAACUCAGUGUUUGACACUUGGGGCAGAGACCAAAGUGAGUGGAAGAGAAACUUUUGUAAAAACAUCAGAAUCAGUUAUGAUAGAAGCAAGACUUUCUGGUGACUUGUGAAGGAACACCAGAGACCACCAAACGAAGCUACUUCCCAUGCAGGGGGAGGCAUAGAUGUUGUUCCAUCCCUUCAUCUUCAGCCUCCACCCAAGUAUCCAGUACAUAGUAAGUACUCAAUAAAUAUCAGGUGAGUAAAGGAAUGGAUUGCUGGGCCAUCGGAAGCAGAGCCAGGGGAUCUCGGCUGUGAGGGAGAGGGCACACUCCUCUCUGCAUCUCCUGUCCCUGAGUUUGGAGUCUGAGGUGUCUAGACCUGACUGAUGAUGUUUCCAGGCAUUGCCAGGCAUUGUAGAUGGACUUGGCCCCUUCCAGGCAGGGAGCAGGAUAAAGAAUCAGGCAUCCCAGAAAGGAGAGGAUGGCAUUUUGCUGCCAGACUGUCUGAUGGUAUGUUGAGUUUCUUUGUUUCUUUCUCUACCAUGAUUCAUAAACAUUUGGUUUAAUGUUCCAGUGCUAUCAGAAUUGUCUGGUGGAAAAUAAACAGGAGUUUGUCUCUACACUGGGGCCAGAGCUUGAAAGAAGAGCGGAUCCUUAGAGGCUGGCCUGAAAUAGCCCUAAAAGGAAGAUGAUUUUCAGGAAGCCAGGUGUCAGGAUUACAAGGGCCCAGCUGUCCCUCUUCAGAAAGUAUUACUUCACUUUUGAUUUUGAUUCACUUUUGAUUCACUUUUCUUUUUUUUUUUUUUUAAGAAGAAAGUCAAAAUUUUGUCUGAGUGUGGUGGCUCAUGCCUGUAGUCCCAAUGCUUUGGGAUAUAGGAGGAUCACUUGAGCUCAGGACUUAGAGACCAGCCUGGGCAACAUAGCAAGACCUCCAUCUCUACAAAAUAAAAAUUUAAAAAUUAGCCAGGUGUGGUGGUCUGUGCCUAUAGUCCCAGCUAUUUGGGAGACUGAGACAGGAGGAUUGCUUGAGCCCACUAGUUCAAGGCUUCAGUGAGCUAUGAUUGUACCACUGUACUCCAGUACUCCAGCCUGGGUGACAGAGCAAGACCCUGUUUCUGAAAAGAAAAGAAAAGAAAAAGAAAAGAAAAAAAAAAGGCCAGGUGCAGUGGCUCAUGCCUGUAAUGCCAGCACUUUGGGAGGCCAAGGUGGGUGGAUCAUUUGAGGUCAGGAGUUCAAGACCAGCCUGACCAACAUGGUGACACCCCAUCUCGUCUCUACUAAAAAUACAAAAAAUUAGCCAGGCAUGGUGGCAGGUGCCUGUAAUACCCAGCUACUAGGGAGGCUGAGACAGGAGAAUCGCUUGAACCUGGGAGGUGGAGCUGCACACCAGCCUGGGUGACAGAGUGAGACUCAGUCUCAAAAAAAAAAAAAAA
rnacentral:lncRNA from 1 species